rnacentral:misc_RNA from 1 species
UUUUAAUUGUUAUAUUUCUCAAAGUUUUUACCUUUCUCAUCUAUAUUUUUUUCAUUUUUCAGGAGAUUAGAUUUUUUUGGUUCAGGGAUGAGGGAUUUGGUCGCCAAACCCUUUCUGGUCUCAACCCAUUGAGCAUACAAUUGAUCACGGUGUCAUAUAUAGAACCUUAAUGAUAAUUAUAAUUAAAUCAUAAAUUAAGCUCCCUUUUUCUUUUGUUUGCAUUUCAAAAAAUACCCUAAAAUUGAAUUAUUAGCUAGCUAAUGGCAUACAAAAUCAUGUUAAAUGGAAGCUAGUUGGAAAAAAAAUGUUAAUAGUAGCACACAAAAUCAUGCAGGAAUGGCCAUUAAAGAGUGAACUUGAUCCUGAGAUUUAUUCCGCCGGAGUCAGCAAUCACAACAGAAAUAAUUGUGCAGGAAAUUAGAGGGUUCAUGACAGUUGAGGAGGCUAUAAAACAAAAGAAGCAGUUCAUCCUUGACUACCAUGACUUGU